GACGAACGCUGGCGGCGUGCUUAACACAUGCAAGUCGAGCGGUAAGGCCCUUUCGGGGGUACACGAGCGGCGAACGGGUGAGUAACACGUGGGUGACCUGCCCUCAGCUCUGGGACUAAGGCCUGGGAAACCGGGUCUAAUACCGGAUAUGACUCCAUGACGCAUGUUGGUGGGGUGGAAAGCCUUGUGCGGCUGAGGAUGGGCCCGCGGCCUAUCAGCUUGUUGGUGGGGUGAUGGCCUACCAAGGCGACGACGGGUAGCUGGUCUGAGAGGACGAUCAGCCACACUGGCACU
rnacentral:rRNA from 1 species